rnacentral:rRNA from 1 species
UACGUAGGGUGCUAGCGUUGUUCGGAAUUAUUGGGCGUAAAGCGCGUGUAGGCGGUCAGAUAAGUCGGGUGUGAAAUACCUGGGCUCAACCGAGGAAGUGCAUCCGAAACUAUCUGGCUAGAAGACGGCAGAGGAAGGUGGAAUUCCUAGUGUAGAGGUGAAAUUCGUAGAUAUUAGGAGGAAUACCGGAGGCGAAGGCGGCCUUCUAGACCGUUCUUGACGCUGAGACGCGAAAGCGUGGGUAGCAAACAGG